UAGAAUUAUUUUUCUCAUGCCUGUGACC
rnacentral:piRNA from 1 species